rnacentral:rRNA from 1 species
GACGGAGGAUGCAAGCGUUAUCCGGAAUGAUUGGGCGUAAAGCGUCCGCAGGUGGCAGUUCAAGUCUGCUGUCAAAGACCGGGGCUUAACUUCGGAAAGGCAGUGGAAACUGAACAGCUAGGGUAUGGUAGGGGCAGAGGGAAUUCCUGGUGUAGCGGUGAAAUGCGUAGAGAUCAGGAAGAACAUCGGUGGCGAAGGCGCUCUGCUGGACCAUAACUGACACUCAGGGACGAAAGCUAGGGGAGCGAAUGGG